AGUGAACGCUGGCGGUAGGCCUAACACAUGCAAGUCGAACGGCAGCACAGUAAGAGCUUGCUCUUACGGGUGGCGAGUGGCGGACGGGUGAGGAAUACAUCGGAAUCUACUUUUUCGUGGGGGAUAACGUAGGGAAACUUACGCUAAUACCGCAUACGACCUACGGGUGAAAGCAGGGGAUCUUCGGACCUUGCGCGAUUGAAUGAGCCGAUGUCGGAUCAGCUAGUUGGCGGGGUAAAGGCCCACCAAGGCGACGAUCCGUAGCUGGUCUGAGAGGAUGAUCAGCCACACUGGAACUGAGACACGGUCCAGACUCCUACGGGAGGCAGCAGUGGGGAAUAUUGGACAAUGGGCGCAAGCCUGAUCCAGCCAUACCGCGUGGGUGAAGAAGGCCUUCGGGUUGUAAAGCCCUUUUGUUGGGAAGGAAAAGCAGCAGGUUAAUACCCCGCUGUUCUGACGGUACCCAAAGAAUAAGCACCGGCUAACUUCGUG
rnacentral:rRNA from 1 species